AAUCGAAAUUUCUCCGCGUGAGGGGGCCGAGGGCGGCGAUGAGAUGACGCGGCGCCGCCGCAGCCCCCGCCCCCGCCCUGCCGCGGCGGUGGCUUUGCCGGACGACGACGACAUCCUCCUCCGCCUCCCGCCGCAGCCCUCCUCGCUCCCCCGCGCCUCCCUCGUCUGCAAGCGCUGGCGCCGCCUCGUCACCGACCCCCACUUCCGCCGCAGCUUCCGCGCCCGCCACCGGAGCGCCCCCCCCCCCCCCCCCCCCCCCCCUCCUCAUCGGCGUCUUCGAGGACCACAAGGGCUACCCCUUCUUCAGGUCCGUCAUGGAUCCGCCGGAUCUCAUCCCGCAAGAGCGCUUCCGUCCGCGGAUCGGCGAUGUCAACAGCGCCGGCUCCCGGCUCCGAGCCCGACAAAUGGAACAUCUACGGCUGUCGCCACGGUUGCAUGCUCCUCCACAACAAGACGCGGAAGGAGAUCGUUCUGUGGGAUCCCCUCACAGGCGACCGCCGUGUGGCUGCCGUUCCGCCAGAGUUCGACAACGAAGAGAGGGUUAUCUGGAACGGCGCGGUUGUCUGCGCUGCUGCCGGCGACCCCAGCCACGUGCACUGCGGUUUCGGCUCCUGCCCCUUCGAGGUGGCCUUGGUAGGCGUUACCAGGAACCACACACAAGUGUUCGUCUGCAUUUACUCGUCGGAAAUAGGAACAUGGAGCGAUCUUGUUGCAGCAGCUACUCCCUUUACGGUUUAUUGUGUUAGUGAUCCGGGCACCCUUGUCGGCAAUGCUCUAUUUUGGUUUCCUGUUGGUCUAGGGUAUGGCAUUCUUGAGUUUAAUUUGGACAGGCAUAGUCUAGAUGUGAUCGAGUGGCCUUCCAGUAUAGCUCUUUCAGGCUCACGUUCCACCUUGCUGGCACAACAUGGCGGUCUUGGCCUCGCCAUUCUGUCAUACCAUAGCCUCCAAAUGUGGGAGAGGAAGGUCUGCUCUGAAGGUGUUACUGAGUGGGUGCUGCAGAAGACUCAUAAUCUGUGCAAGAUUCAUGGGAGGAAGUCUGGGUCAGCGGCAGUAUUAGGGUAUGCUGAAGAUGCUAAUGUGAUGUUGCUAUGGACCAUUUAUGGUGUUUACAUGCUCCAACUUGACUCCCUGCAGUCCAAAAAACUCUGGGAAACUUAUAUCCUCUACCGACAUCACCCGUACGCAAGUAUCUAUGAUUCAGGUAUCCAGGGUUAGCUGGUUGCAAUGGUGUAGAGAUGGUUCGCUAGUGUAUCCAGUUGCGUUGUGGCUUAUGAUAUGAUAUAUAUGGUCCCUGUGGAAAUCGACCCUUUACUGUAGCACACACUUAAAAGUGAAGUGAAUUUGUAGGAGUUAACUGCUUGGUUUACAAACACCCAGUGCUCUUUCGGUGACCUCCGUAGCAGUUGUUGGCAAUUGAUGCUCUGAAUUUAUGCAAUGACAUUUAGUGGUUAAGUUGCAUAUGCCUUCUGAGAACAUUAAGGCCAAGCUUCAUGUUGAAGUUGACAAGUUGGUGCUCUUGACAAUCUCUUGAUCCUGUCUCCAUGAAUUUGUUAUAAGUGUACUAGGGUAGUAUUUUUAUUUUGGCUGUUUUCUGUUGAGACCUGUUCAACUUUAAUGUUUAAUCUGCUGGGGUCAGGCUGAAUCUUCCGAGUUCUGUUGUUUCAA